rnacentral:snRNA from 1 species
AUACCUUUUUCUGCCUUUUGGCUAAGAUCAAGUGUAGUAUCUGUUGUUAUCAGUUUGUUACAAUAUAUCCAAGGCCGUAUAAAACAGGGAAAGAGUUGGAAGGCUGGAAGAGACUCAUCGAGAUUUAGCACAGAAAUAGCCAAUCGGUGUAAUUCUG